UGGAUAGGAGACAAGAAGGCAUCUUCUUGUUUUUAAAAGACCUAGCAAUAGGUAUGCUUAGGGAGGAGCUUGCGUCACAUUAGUUAGUUGGUGGGGUAAAGGCGUACCAAGACUAUGAUGUGUAGCCGGGCUGAGAGGUUGAACGGCCACAUUGGGACUGAGACACGGCCCAAACUCCUACGGGAGGCAGCAGUAGGGAAUUUUCGGCAAUGGAGGAAACUCUGACCGAGCAACGCCGCGUGAACGAUGAAGUAUUUCGGUGCGUAAAGUUCUUUUAUUAGGGAAGAAUAAAUGAUGGAAAAAUCAUUCUGACGGUACCUAAUGAAUAAGCCCCGGCUAACUAUGUGCCAGCAGCCGCGGUAAUACAUAGGGGGCAAGCGUUAUCCGGAAUUGAUUGGGCGUAAAGGGUGCGUAGGCGGUUAAAUAAGUUUAUGGUCUAAGUGCAAUGCUCAACAUUGUGAUGCUAUAAAAACUGUUUAGCUAGAGUAAGAUAGAGGCAAGUGGAAUUCCAUGUGUAGUGGUAAAAUGCGUAAAUAUAUGGAGGAACACCAGUGGCGAAGGCGGCUUGCUGGGUCUUUACUGACGCUGAGGCACGAAAGCGUGGGGAGCAAACAGGAUUAGAUAACCCUGGUAGUCCACGCCGUAAACGAUGAGUACUAAACGUUGGGUAAAACCAGUGUUGAAGUUAACACAUUAAGUACUCCGCCUGAGUAGUACGUACGCAAGUAUGAAACUUAAAGGAAUUGACGGGACUCCGCACAAGCGGUGGAUCAUGUUGUUUAAUUCGAAGGUACCCGAAAAACCUCACCAGGUCUUGACAUGCUUCUGCAAAGCUGUAGAAACACAGUGGAGGUUAUCAGUUGCACAGGUGGUGCAUGGUUGUCGUCAGCUCGUGUCGUGAGAUGUUGGGUUAAGUCCCGCAACGAGCGCAACCCUUAUUGUUAGUUACCAGCACGUAAUGGUGGGGACUUUAGCAAGACUGCCAGUGAUAAAUUGGAGGAAGGUGGGGACGACGUCAAAUCAUCAUGCCCCUUAUGACCUGGGCUACAAACGUGAUACAAUGGCUGUUACAAAGGGUAGCUGAAGCGCAAGUUUUUGGCGAAUCUCAAAAAAACAGUCCUCAGUUCGGAUUGAAGUCUGCAACUCGACUUCAUGAAGUUGGAAUCGCUAGUAAUCGCGAAUCAGCAUGUCGCGGUGAAAACGUUCUCGGGGUUAGUACACACCGCCCG
rnacentral:rRNA from 1 species